rnacentral:rRNA from 1 species
AUUGAACGCUGGCGGCGUGCUUAACACAUGCAAGUCGAGCGGUAACAGGCGUAGCAAUACGUGCUGACGAGCGGCGAACGGGUGCGUAAUACAUGGGAAUCUGCCUAGUAGUGGGGAAUAACCCGGCGAAAGCCGGGCUAAUGCCGCAUACGAUCCACGGAUGAAAGCGGGGGACCUUCGGGCCUCGCGCUAUUGGAUGAGCCCAUGUCGGAUUAGCUAGNGGUGAGGUAACGGCUCACCAAGGCGACGAUCCGUAGCUGGUCUGAGAGGACGGCCAGCCACACUGGGACUGAGACACGGCCCAGACUCCUACGGGAGGCAGCAGUGGGAAUAUUGGACAAUGGGGGAAACCCUGACCCAGCAACGCCGCGUGAAGGAUGAAGUAUUUCGGUAUGUAAACUUCGAAAGAAUAGGAAGAAUAAAUGACGGUACUAUUUAUAAGGUCCGGCUAACUACGUGCCAGCAGCCGCGGUAA